CCUACGGGAGGCUGCAGCGGGGAAUAUUGGACAAUGGGGGGAACCCUGAUCCAGCCAUGCCGCGUGUGUGAAGAAGGCCCUCGGGUUGUAAAGCACUUUCAGUGAGGAAGAACGCCUGGUGGUUAAUACCCAUCAGGAAAGACAUCACUCACAGAAGAAGCACCGGCUAACUCCGUGCCAGCAGCCGCGGUAAUACGGAGGGUGCGAGCGUUAAUCGGAAUUACUGGGCGUAAAGCGCGCGUAGGUGGCUUGAUAAGCCGGUUGUGAAAGCCCCGGGCUCAACCUGGGAACGGCAUCCGGAACUGUCAAGCUAGAGUGCAGGAGAGGAAGGUAGAAUUCCCGGUGUAGCGGUGAAAUGCGUAGAGAUCGGGAGGAAUACCAGUGGCGAAGGCGGCCUUCUGGACUGACACUGACACUGAGGUGCGAAAGCGUGGGUAGCAAACAGGAUUAGAUACCCGAGUAGUC
rnacentral:rRNA from 1 species